rnacentral:sRNA from 1 species
AUCUAAGCAUAAUCCUUCUUAAACCUUGUCUGGCCCUGGCUACUAGGAACCAGGCCAACGCCAAGUGAGACGCUGCUUAUUCAUCUCAGGUCUAAACCCACUGCUCCUGAGCCACAGAAAUCAAAGAGAGCUGAAAAGGCCACCUACUGAUGAAUGGUAAACAACGGGUCGUCAGGACUCACUGGACCCAAGGGAAAACAGAUGUCUGAAGAUGAUGGUUGACUCCAAAAUUCCAAUGGUCUCUACUAUUACCUGCCCUGUGGCCUGCCAAAGUCUCCAAACAGCAACUCUAUUUGCCACUAAUACCUCAAGCACCAUGGUGUCUACUGAAUGAUAGGAACCAAAUGCACAGCAGCCGGGACCUGUUGAACAGCUUUCUUCCUUCUGUUUCUGACGCCACUCAAAACUAGCAGCUUUCUAAGGCACCGGAACCUACUCUUCUAGCACAUAUUGAAGACCGACUAAGGCAUCCUGUCUUGUGGUACUGAGCAGAUCCUAGAUUCUUGGACUUCCUGCUCACAGCCAGCCAUUGUUGAAUUUUCUAGACUGCAGCCUAGGAAUUUCAAGAUUGGCUGGUUAACAGGACUCUCGCUGGCAGCUGAAGGGAAGACAUCACAGGCUGGAGAUGUUUGGGAAAGGAACACACUAUCAUGGAGUUUGUCCUAUGACUCGACGGGAAGGGAACAGAGGAGUAGCAGGUUCUGAAAUGGAAGCUGAUUAAUCUGAAAGCCCCAAAAGACACUGCUGGGGAGAAAGAAAAGUGGAAUCAGGAACUUGAGGAACAGCAUUUAGCAUCUACCCAGGGAAGGCAAGCUGACCCCUUUAGACAAGGAGAAAGUAGGUCAGCUUCCUGUUACUAUACGUAAGAUAAUCAACCUCAAAGGAGAGAAGUUGAUUUUAGUUUCUUUUCUUCUAGGUAUAACAAGCUUACCCCAUUGCCAUCUUAGAGUUGAGUUACCAUGGCUUGGUAGCUCUGGCAAGUAAUCGAGUGGACCAGUCCAGAGGUAGCUAUGUCUAUGAUUAUGACAAUGGAGCUGUGGACAUUUCCUUAUAGAAUGGCAGACAGGAAGUCAAAGGACCCUCAUCCGGAAACCCAGCCAUUAUUCCUUCCUGCAAAUGAGGUUGGGAGGUGCUAGAAUAUAUGGAGAAUGGAGGGUUGAGAGGGGAGUCCAUGACACAGCCAUGAGGGUGACAUCUAUUUUGUAGACACCUAACUUACCCAUACUCUAUAGGUAAAUAUAAAUAAAUUCCUAGGUUUUCAAAGUUGGACUUCAGUGGGACUGCAGUUCUGUCAUUGGUGCAGUAUCUGGGGUGAAUAGAUGUUUGUUUCAAUUUCCCGGUGAAAAGACACAAUUGGAAGUGUCAGUCCAUUGUUAAUUAGCUCGUGGUUGUGGGGCUAAUGGUGAGGUAGCAUGUCCUGGUGGUGUGCAUCCUUCACAGUGGCCAAGAUGUGAUAAAGAAGAGAAAUCCAGGGUCACCAUAUCCCAGCGUAUGCCAAUUUUGUUCUACUUACCCAAAGGUCCCCUAAUGGCUUUACAUGUCCAGGAUCAAGUCUCAAGCACAUGGGCCUUUUGGGGAAUUUAAAACAUGAAGUGCCACAGUAGACAAGGUGGUGAUAUUGAGAAUGACAGUUGUAAAAGGCUCUUCACUCGGGGGAAUCAGCUGUAAGGAGAAAGACCAUCUGUGUGAUGACCUGUGGCUUUAAUGGACAAACAGACUCAAAGCCUAACAUAAAAUACGAUUGCUCUAACUCCAAUAUCAUCACUUAGCGGACGUUCACUUGAGGAGUAUGUUUUUAGCCUUAACAGGUCACAGGAUUUCAGCCUAGACUGGGAGCUGUGUAGAUUUCUAUAUCUAUUUUUAAAAUCAUAGACAACUUGAGGAGAGUGAUGAGCUAUGUGUGUUCAACUUCCCUGAUGUGUGUUCAACUUUCUCUUCCUCCCCAUCUGCCAGAGAGUUUGUGUGCUCUUUCUAGAAACAAGGGUGCAGCCAUGCUUAAAACAGAUACAUGGAUUUUCAAACCAGAACUCAGCCGUGCUGAAAUUUGAGGUGAAAUGAAACACGUGUUAGUGGAUGGUGCAGGAAAAUCUAAACAAAGUCACCUACGACCAGGAAGACAGCCCAUGGUGACAUCACAGAGGACAGACAAUAAGUGCCCCAAUGCCACAAGAGGAGAUGCCCAUUAGACGGCUUAGUGAGCACAGCCCUUGAGUUGGAUUAUGUCAAACUGAAGAGAGUUCUGGAACCAUAGAGCCACAGAACCACAGCACUGUCUAAAUCACGGCCGUCACUUCCUAUGUGAGGAAUAUUCAGACUCAAGAAGCAGAAAAACCAGGUCUGAGUCACAGAACUGCUUUCAGGUAGACCGCAGAGCAGCCUACAGUUUCUUCCAGGGAACUAAUUAAAAAUGCAUUUUGAAGAUGUUAUUUUUAUUAGGAAAUAGCAAUACAUGUUUAUGAGAUACAAUGUAAUACCUUGAUAUAUGUUUAUUAUAGAAUGCAUUAAUCGAACUGCCACAGAAGUAUUUAUUUUCUAGACAUCACAAAGAAUAAAAAUAAGGAUUCUCUCUUCUCAAAAAAGCAUAUUAAAUAAUUUAUAAGAAAGAGAGCUAAAAUGUCUAAAGAUCAGAUACAAAUUUUAGAUUUCUAGCCAAAGUGUAUCUUGGUUACUGACUGAAAUGUUUCUUUCUAAUAAGAAUCUUCCAGAAUUUCUAGAUGAUUCCACACAUGGUGCAUAAGCCUUCAAAAGGAUAACUCUCUCCCUCAAAACAGGCCAAAAGAAUUACUUAUUUCUAAUUAGAAAUCUCUACUUCCAGUUAAUUCCUGAAAUUUUCUAAUUCCUGCACACCUCUAACACAGUAUUACUAGAAGUAAAAUUUAAAUAUCUCAUCGAUCCAUUUAAAUAGAAAAAAAGAAAUCUGAACUACAUACUAUU